rnacentral:tRNA from 1 species
GAGAAGAGUUAAGAAACAAAAGAAACUGCUAAUAUCUAAACCUGUGGUUAAAAUCCGCAGUCUACUCA